CCUACGGGUGGCAGCAGUCGAGAAUCAUUCACAAUGGGGGAAACCCUGAUGGUGCGACGCCGCGUGGGGGAAUGAAGGUCUUCGGAUUGUAAACCCCUGUCAUGUGGGAGCAAAUUAAAAAGAUCGUACCACAAGAGGAAGAGACGGCUAACUCUGUGCCAGCAGCCGCGGUAAUACAGAGGUCUCAAGCGUUGUUCGGAAUCACUGGGCGUAAAGCGUGCGUAGGCUGUUUCGUAAGUCGUGUGUGAAAGGCGCGGGCUCAACCCGCGGACGGCACAUGAUACUGCGGGACUAGAGUAAGGGAGGGGGAACCGGAAUUCUCGGUGUAGCAGUGAAAUGCGUAGAUAUCGAGAGGAACACUCGUGGCGAAGGCGGGUUCCUGGACAUUAACUGACGCUGAGGCACGAAGGCCAGGGGAGCGAAAGGGAUUAGAUACCCCUGUAGUC
rnacentral:rRNA from 1 species